rnacentral:rRNA from 1 species
GAUGAACGCUGGCGGUGUGCCUAAUACAUGCAAGUCGAACGCGAUCUUCGGAUCGAGUGGCGGACGGGUGAGUAACACGUUGGUACCUACCCCGAAGUGGGGAAUAACUGCCCGAAAGGGUGGCUAAUACCGCAUAAUACCGUAAGGUUAAAGCAGUAAUGCGCUUCGGGAGGGGCCUGCGUCCCAUUAGCUUGUUGGUAGUGUAAUGGACUACCAAGGCGACGAUGGGUAGCUGGAUCGAGAGGUUGACCAGCCACACUGGGACUGAGAUACGGCCCAGACUCCUACGGGAGGCAGCAGUAAGGAAUCUUCCACAAUGGACGAAAGUCUGAUGGAGCAACACCGCGUGCAGGAUGACGGUCUUCGGAUUGUAAACUGCUUUUAUAUGGGAAGAUUAUGACGGUACCAUAUGAAUAAGGACCGGCUAACUACGUGCCAGCCGCCGCUGUAAC